rnacentral:rRNA from 1 species
CAGUAGUCAUAUGCUUGUCUCAAAGACUAAGCCAUGCAUGUGUAAGUACACACCAUCCUAAGGUGAGACCGCGAAUGGCUCAUUAAAUCAGUUAUGGUUCAUUAGACGAGUUAAAUCCCACUUGGAUAACUGUGGUAAUUCUAGAGCUAAUACAUGACCCCCAAGCUCUGACCGUUUGCCGGAAAGAGCGCUUUUAUUAGACCAAGACCAAUCGGACUUGUCCGUUUCCUUUGGUGACUCUGAAUAACCUUUUGAAGAUCGCACGGUCUCGAACUGGCGACGCGUCUUUCAAAUGUCUGCCUUAUCAACUGUCGAUGGUAGGUUAUGUGCCUACCAUGGUUGUAACGGGUAACGGAGAAUCAGGGUUCGACUCCGGAGAGGGAGCCUGAGAAACGGCUGCCACAUCCAAGGAAGGCAGCAGGCACGCAAAUUACCCACUCCCGGCACGGGGAGGUAGUGACGAAAAAUAACGAUGCGGGACUCUUCCGAGGCCCCGUAAUCGGAAUGAGUACACUUUAAAUCCUUUAACGAGGAUCAAUUGGAGGGCAAGUCUGGUGCCAGCAGCCGCGGUAAUUCCAGCUCCAAUAGCGUAUACUAAAGUUGUUGCGGCUAAAAAGCUCGUAGUUGGAUUUCAGUCGUAGGCCGGUGGUCCACCGCCCGGUGGCUACUGCCUGGCCUAGGCACCUUGCCGGCUCUCCUGCGAUGCUCUUGGUUGGGUGUCGUGGGUGGCCGGAACGUUUACUUUGAAAAAAUUAGAGUGCUCCAAGCAGGCGUUACGGCCUGAAUAACACAGCAUGGAAUAAUGGAACAGGACCUUGGUUCUGUUUUGUUGGUCUUUGGAAGCUAAGGUAAUGAUUAAUAGGGACGGACGGGGGCAUUCGUAUUGCGACGCUAGAGGUGAAAUUCUUGGACCGUCGCAAGACGAACUACUGCGAGAA